UUGUGUAAUUCUUAUGGCAGUAGUAUGAGCCGGGAUUGUUGCAUGUAUGCAGGUCAUAAUUAAUAGGUAUAAGCUUAUUGUGUAUGAUACAAUUAGUAUAAUAUAGGGUAUAAUGUUAGUUAUACAUACCAUGUAAUUUGAAAACGUCAUUAUUUGCCUACUUCUUUGCCCGUCAAAAGAGCUAUGAGAGAGUUAUUUUACUGAUGGUAAACAUUGUGAACAAUCAGCCUGCUUAUUUCGGACCGGGAACUAGACUCACUGUUCUGGAUGGUACUGAGAUCACUAGGCCAACAGUGAAAGUGCUGGAUCCAUCACAGAACGAGAUCUGUACAAAAAAGAAAACAGUGACCCUGGUGUGUGUGGCCACAGAAUUCUACCCUGACCACAUUCAAGUGUACUGGCAGAAAAAUGGAGCAAACAUCACGCAUGGCUACCAGACAGAUGAGAGGGCAACGCGAAAUGAAAACACAGGCAAAUACAGCAUCACCAGCAGACUCCGAAUCCCACUCAAGAAGUGGUACAACACCAGGAACCGGUUCACCUGUUUGACCAGAUACAUCAACGAGACAUCUUACAAUAAGACAUCUUACAUUGAUUCAUUUUACACCAUAAAUGGAGUUAAAGGUGGUUCGUUACAGAAAGAUGAUAUUAUAAGCAGGUCGCAGUGGGCAAAGCUGACUUAUGGGACAUUAAUCGCUAAGAGUGCCGUGUAUGGAAUGUUCAUCUUCGUUGUUGUGUGGAAGCUAAAGGGCUCAGCAGCAAAGAAGUGAUGACUAGAGAAAUGGCAAUUAGCUCUGAUGAAACGUCAGUGUUAUAAAACUUUUUUUGUAAAUCAGCACAAUGUUUUUUGAAAAGAUUCAGUUUUUUGCUUCACAUACUUUAUUGUUUUACACUUUAUAAGCAGCUCUGAAUUGUUUUAUAUUCAAGAUUUUACUUUUGCUUAACUUUUACUUUGCUUGCUCCUUAAAAUAAACUUGCAUUUAAAGUGAA